GGGGAAUUUUGGACAAUGGGCGCAAGCCUGAUCCAGCCAUGCCGCGUGUCUGAAGAAGGCCUUCGGGUUGUAAAGGACUUUUGUCAGGGAGCAAAACUUACUGGUUAAUACCUGGUGAGGUUGAGAGUACCUGAAGAAUAAGCACCGGCUAACUACGUGCCAGCAGCCGCGGUAAUACGUAGGGUGCAAGCGUUAAUCGGAAUUACUGGGCGUAAAGCGUGCGCAGGCGGACUUUUAAGCCAGAUGUGAAAGCCCCGAGCUUAACUUGGGAAUUGCGUUUGGAACUGGGAGUCUAGAGUCUGUCAGAGGGGGAUGGAAUUCCACGUGUAGCAGUGAAAUGCGUAGAGAUGUGGAGGAACACCGAUGGCGAAGGCAGUCCCCUGGGAUAAGACUGACGCUCAUGCACGAAAGCGUGGGGAGCAAAC
rnacentral:rRNA from 1 species